AACGAACGCUGGCGGCAUGCCUAACACAUGCAGGUCGAACGAGACCUUCGGGUCUAGUGGCGCACGGGUGCGUAACGCGUGGGAAUCUGCCCUUGGGUUCGGAAUAACAGUUGGAAACGACUGCUAAUACCGGAUGAUGACGUAAGUCCAAAGAUUUAUCGCCCAAGGAUGAGCCCGCGUAGGAUUAGCUAGUUGGUGAGGUAAAGGCUCACCAAGGCGACGAUCCUUAGCUGGUCUGAGAGGAUGAUCAGCCACACUGGGACUGAGACACGGCCCAGACUCCUACGGGAGGCAGCAGUGGGGAAUAUUGGACAAUGGGCGAAAGCCUGAUCCAGCAACGCCGCGUGAGUGAUGAAGGCCUUAGGGUUGUAAAGCUCUUUUACCCGGGAUGAUAAUGACAGUACCGGGAGGAUAAGCUCCGGCUAACUCCGUG
rnacentral:rRNA from 1 species